GAUGAACGCUGGCGGCAUGCCUAACACAUGCAAGUCGAACGGGAAGUGGUGUUUCGCUUGGCGGACGGGUGAGUAACGCGUAAGAACCUGCCCUUGGGAGGGGAACAACAGCUGGAAACGGUUGAGAAUACCCCGUAGGUUCAGGAGCAGAAGGUAGAAUCCGCCCGAGGAGGCGCUUGCGCUGGAUUUGUGAGUUGGUGAGGUAAUGGCUUACCAAGGGGAUGAUCAGUAGCUGGCCCGAGAGGAUGAUCCGCCACAGUGGGACUGAGAGAUGGGCCAGACUGGGACGGGAGGACGGCGCGGGGAACAUGGGGAGAUGGGAGAAAGGAAGAUUCAGCAAUGGGGGGUGGGUGAAGAAGGCAAUGCGGUGGGAAAGUAGUAGGCCUAGGGAUGAAGAACUGCUUUUCCAGAAGAAGAAGCAAUGACGGUAUCUGGGGAAUAAGCACCGGCUAACUCUGUG
rnacentral:rRNA from 1 species